rnacentral:misc_RNA from 1 species
UGUGGGAGCGAGCCUGCUCGCGAUAGCGGUGUGUCAGUCACCAUCAAAUUGACUGACACACCCUCAUCGCGAGCAGGCUCGCUCCCACA